GUUAUAUGGUCAAGUGAAGAAGCGCAUACGGUGGAUGCCUUGGCAGUCAGAGGCGAUGAAAGACGUGGUAGCCUGCGAAAAGCUUCGGGGAGUCGGCAAACAGACUGUGAUCCGGAGAUGUCCUGAAUGGGGGAACCCAGCUGUCAUAAGACAGUUAUCUCAUGCUGAAUACAUAGGCAUGCGAGGCGAACCAGGGGAACUGAAACAUCUAAGUACCCUGAGGAAAAGAAAUCAACCGAGAUUCCCUUAGUAGUGGCGAGCGAACGGGGACCAGCCCUUAAGUUGGUUUGAGAUUAGCGGAACGCUCUGGAAAGUGCGGCCAUAGUGGGUGAUAGCCCUGUACGCGAAAAUCUCUUGUCAAUGAAAUCGAGUAGGACGGGCACGAGAAACCUUGUCUGAAUAUGGGGGGACCAUCCUCCAAGGCUAAAUACUACUGACUGACCGAUAGUGAACUAGUACCGUGAGGGAAAGGCGAAAAGAACCCCGGAGAGGGGAGUGAAAUAGAUCCUGAAACCGUAUGCGUACAAGCAGUGGGAGCAGACUUCGUUCUGUGACUGCGUACCUUUUGUAUAAUGGGUCAGCGACUUAUAUUCAGUGGCGAGCUUAACCGAAUAGGGGAGGCGUAGCGAAAGCGAGUCUUAAUAGGGCGUUUAGUCGCUGGGUAUAGACCCGAAACCGGGCGAUCUAUCCAUGGGCAGGUUGAAGGUUAGGUAACACUGACUGGAGGACCGAACCGACUACCGUUGAAAAGUUAGCGGAUGACCUGUGGAUCGGAGUGAAAGGCUAAUCAAGCUCGGAGAUAGCUGGUUCUCCUCGAAAGCUAUUUAGGUAGCGCCUCAUGUAUCACUGUAGGGGGUAGAGCACUGUUUCGGCUAGGGGGUCAUCCCGACUUACCAAACCGAUGCAAACUCCGAAUACCUACAAGUGCCGAGCAUGGGAGACACACGGCGGGUGCUAACGUCCGUCGUGAAAAGGGAAACAACCCAGACCGUCAGCUAAGGUCCCAAAAUCCUGGUUAAGUGGGAAACGAUGUGGGAAGGCUUAGACAGCUAGGAGGUUGGCUUAGAAGCAGCCACCCUUUAAAGAAAGCGUAAUAGCUCACUAGUCGAGUCGGCCUGCGCGGAAGAUGUAACGGGGCUCAAACCAGGUACCGAAGCUACGGGUAUCACCUUCUGGUGAUGCGGUAGAGGAGCGUUCUGUAAGCCUGUGAAGGUGAGUUGAGAAGCUUGCUGGAGGUAUCAGAAGUGCGAAUGCUGACAUGAGUAACGACAAUGGGUGUGAAAAACACCCACGCCGAAAGACCAAGGUUUCCUGCGCAACGUUAAUCGACGCAGGGUUAGUCGGUCCCUAAGGCGAGGCUGAAAAGCGUAGUCGAUGGAAAACAGGUUAAUAUUCCUGUACUUCUGGUUAUUGCGAUGGAGGGACGGAGAAGGCUAGGCCAGCUUGGCGUUGGUUGUCCAAGUUUAAGGUGGUAGGCUGAGAUCUUAGGUAAAUCCGGGAUCUUAAGGCCGAGAGCUGAUGACGAGUUGUCUUUUAGACGACGAAGUGGUUGAUGCCAUGCUUCCAAGAAAAGCUUCUAAGCUUCAGGUAACCAGGAACCGUACCCCAAACCGACACAGGUGGUUGGGUAGAGAAUACCAAGGCGCUUGAGAGAACUCGGGUGAAGGAACUAGGCAAAAUGGCACCGUAACUUCGGGAGAAGGUGCGCCGGUGAGGGUGAAGGACUUGCUCCGUAAGCUCAUGCCGGUCGAAGAUACCAGGCCGCUGCGACUGUUUAUUAAAAACACAGCACUCUGCAAACACGAAAGUGGACGUAUAGGGUGUGACGCCUGCCCGGUGCCGGAAGGUUAAUUGAUGGGGUUAGCGCAAGCGAAGCUCUUGAUCGAAGCCCCGGUAAACGGCGGCCGUAACUAUAACGGUCCUAAGGUAGCGAAAUUCCUUGUCGGGUAAGUUCCGACCUGCACGAAUGGCGUAACGAUGGCGGCGCUGUCUCCACCCGAGACUCAGUGAAAUUGAAAUCGCUGUGAAGAUGCAGUGUAUCCGCGGCUAGACGGAAAGACCCCGUGAACCUUUACUAUAGCUUUGCACUGGACUUUGAAUUUGCUUGUGUAGGAUAGGUGGGAGGCUUUGAAGCGUGGACGCCAGUCUGCGUGGAGCCAACCUUGAAAUACCACCCUGGCAACUUUGAGGUUCUAACUCAGGUCCGUUAUCCGGAUCGAGGACAGUGUAUGGUGGGUAGUUUGACUGGGGCGGUCUCCUCCUAAAGAGUAACGGAGGAGUACGAAGGUGCGCUCAGACCGGUCGGAAAUCGGUCGUAGAGUAUAAAGGCAAAAGCGCGCUUGACUGCGAGACAGACACGUCGAGCAGGUACGAAAGUAGGUCUUAGUGAUCCGGUGGUUCUGUAUGGAAGGGCCAUCGCUCAACGGAUAAAAGGUACUCCGGGGAUAACAGGCUGAUACCGCCCAAGAGUUCAUAUCGACGGCGGUGUUUGGCACCUCGAUGUCGGCUCAUCACAUCCUGGGGCUGAAGCCGGUCCCAAGGGUAUGGCUGUUCGCCAUUUAAAGUGGUACGCGAGCUGGGUUUAGAACGUCGUGAGACAGUUCGGUCCCUAUCUGCCGUGGACGUUUGAGAUUUGAGAGGGGCUGCUCCUAGUACGAGAGGACCGGAGUGGACGAACCUCUGGUGUUCCGGUUGUCACGCCAGUGGCAUUGCCGGGUAGCUAUGUUCGGAAAAGAUAACCGCUGAAAGCAUCUAAGCGGGAAACUUGCCUCAAGAUGAGAUCUCACUGGAACCUUGAGUUCCCUGAAGGGCCGUCGAAGACUACGACGUUGAUAGGUGGGGUGUGUAAGCGCUGUGAGGCGUUGAGCUAACCCAUACUAAUUGCCCGUGAGGCUUGACCAUAUAACACCCAAGCAAUU
rnacentral:rRNA from 1 species